rnacentral:rRNA from 1 species
AAUGUGCCUUCGGGAACCGUGAGACAGGUGCUGCAUGGCUGUCGUCAGCUCGUGUUGUGAAAUGUUGGGUUAAGUCCCGCAACGAGCGCAACCCUUAUCCUUUGUUGCCAGCGGUCCGGCCGGGAACUCAAAGGAGACUGCCAGUGAUAAACUGGAGGAAGGUGGGGAUGACGUCAAGUCAUCAUGGCCCUUACGACCAGGGCUACACACGUGCUACAAUGGCGCAUACAAAGAGAAGCGACCUCGCGAGAGCAAGCGGACCUCAUAAAGUGCGUCGUAGUCCGGAUUGGAGUCUGCAACUCGACUCCAUGAAGUCGGAAUCGCUAGUAAUCGUGGAUCAGAAUGCCACGGUGAAUACGUUCCCGGGCCUUGUACACACCGCCCGUCACACCAUGGGAGUGGGUUGCAAAAGAAGUAGGUAGCUUAACCUUCGGGAGGGCGCUUACCACUUUGUGAUUCAUGACUGGGGUGAAGUCGUAACAAGGUAACCGUAGGGGAACCUGCGGUUGGAUCACCU